UUGGCACAGGUGUUAGAAGAGAAAUGUUAACGCCACCCGACACCGAAUAAACCUAUCGGAUUGUCGUCCUCGACUGUCGCAUCCAAAGAACGGGUGUUUACUUCUUCUGUGCUUCCACAUCCACAAAGAGGUGGCUAAGCAGCAUCAGUGUGGUCUACAUGUUGUCAGAGACAUGUAUGAUUGAAACUCAGUCACACUACAAGUAGUCUCAUUCACAAUGAAAAUAGGUAUGUGAAUACAACAACCCAGCGCAUAGUGGAAGAAUGGCCAGUUUGAGCUCACAAGGGAACCUUCAUUGACUUCCUUGCUGCAACAGAGGAGGCUAUCGAUGAUAUUCAGUACGUCUUAAUUGUACUAAGAGCUGCUCUUCCAACCCCAUACUAAUGAAGUCACCUUAUUGAAAUGUCAUGAUCAACUAGGUCAAAAGCUUUCGAUAAGUCACAC